rnacentral:rRNA from 1 species
GACGAACGCUGGCGGCGUGCUUAACACAUGCAAGUCGAACGGAAAGGCGCUGCUUUUGUGGGGUGCUCGAGUGGCGAACGGGUGAGUAACACGUGAGUAACCUGUCCUUGACUUACGGGUAAAUUCAGGAAACUGGGGCUCAUACCGGAUAGGAGCUCCUGCUGCAUGGUGGGGGUUGGUAAGUGUCGGCUGUUGGGGCUGGAUUCGCAGCUUAUGCGCUUGUUGGUCGGGUAGUGACUUACCAAGGCUUUGAGUGAUAGCCGGCCUGGGAGCGCGACCGGCGACAUUGGGACUGAGGUACGGCCCAGACUCCUACGGGAGGCAGCAGUGGGGAAUAUUGCGCAACGAGGGGAAGCCUGAUGCAACGACGCCGCGUGCGGGAUGACGGCCUUCGAGGUGAAAACCGCUUUCGCCUGUGACGAAGCGAUAGUGACGGUAAUUGGUAAAGAAGCACCGGCUAACUACGUG